AACGAACGUUAGCGGCGCGCCUAACACAUGCAAGUCGAGCGAGAAAGGGAGCAAUCCCCGGUAAAGCGGCGCACGGGUGAGUAACACGUAGGUAAUCUGCCUCUGAGUGGGGGAUAACCUUCCGAAAGGAGGGCUAAUACCGCAUGAGACCCACGCCUUCGAGAGGAGGAGGGGUCAAAGCCGGCCACUAUACAUAAGCUGGCGCUUGGAGAUGAGCCUGCGGCCCAUCAGCUAGUUGGUAGGGUAAUGGCCUACCAAGGGCGUAGACGGGUAGCUGGUCUGAGAGGAUGAUCAGCCACACUGGAACUGAGACACGGUCCAGACUCC
rnacentral:rRNA from 1 species